rnacentral:rRNA from 1 species
GGCGUAAAGGGUCUGUAGGUGGUUUGUUAAGUCAGAUGUGAAGGCCCAGGGCUCAACCUUGGAACUGCAUUUGAUACUGGCAAACUAGAGUAUGGUAGAGGAAUGGGGAAUUUCUGGUGUAGCGGUGAAAAUGCGUAGAGAUCAGAAGGAACACCAAUGGCGAAGGCAACAUUCUGGACCAAUACUGACACUGAGGGACGAAAGCGUGGGGAUCAAACAGGAUUAGAUACCCUGGUAGUCCACGCUGUAAACGAUGAGUACUAGCUGUUGGAUUCGGUGUAAAGGAUCUAGUGGCGUAGCUAACGCGUUAAGUACUCCGCCUGGGGACUACGGCCGCAAGGCUAAAACUCAAAGGAAUUGACGGGGACCCGCACAAGCGGUGGAGCAUGUGGUUUAAUUCGAUGCAACGCGAAGAACCUUACCUGGUCUUGACAUCCUGCGAACUUUCUAGAGAUAGAUUGGUGCCUUCGGGAACGCAGUGACAGGUGCUGCACGGCUGUCGUCAGCUCGUGUUGUGAAAUGUUGGGUUAAGUCCCGCAACGAGCGCAACCCCUAUUGAUAGUUACCAUCAUUAAGUUGGGUACUCUAUUGAGACUGCCGCUGACAAGGCGGAGGAAGGUGGGGACGACGUCAAGUCAUCAUGGCCCUUACGACCAGGGCUACACACGUGCUACAAUGGGUAUUACAGAGGGCAGCGAAGUAGCGAUAUGGAGCGAAACUCAGAAAGGUACUCUUAGUCCGGAUUGCAGUCUGCAACUCGACUGCAUGAAGUCGGAAUCGCUAGUAAUCGCAGGUCAGAAUACUGCGGUGAAUACGUUCCCGGGUCUUGUACACACCG